UACGAAGGGGGCUAGCGUUGCUCGGAAUUACUGGGCGUAAAGGGCGCGUAGGCGGACAGUUUAGUCAGAGGUGAAAGCCCAGGGCUCAACCUUGGAAUUGCCUUUGAUACUGGCUGUCUUGAGUUCGGGAGAGGUGAGUGGAAUGCCGAGUGUAGAGGUGAAAUUCGUAGAUAUUCGCAAGAACACCAGUGGCGAAGGCGGCUCACUGGCCCGGUACUGACGCUCAUGCACGAAAGCGUGGGGAGCAAACAGG
rnacentral:rRNA from 1 species